GACAUGCCAAAUUGUUUUGAGUGCUUGCAAGAUGAAGCUAAGUCUGGGUUGGAAUGGCUUCAUCAAUGUGCAGAAAAUGAGCUACAAGUUGACCUCAAUGAUAAGGACAUCAAAAGAUUUCAUUGAGUUUUUCACAAAACUUGCUGGAUUGACUAGGUUAUGUUCCACUAAAGAUAUUACACUAUUUUUCUGAUUGGAUAAGUUGAUUCGGGUUACAAUGAUAUAGCUUUUUAGAUUAUUCAUACUAAGAAUUAGUUUUGCUAAGUGGGAAUGCUGUGAUUGAAAUUUUAUAGAAAUGAUGAACGGGCCAAUCUGAAAUACCAAAUUUCAACUGAUGAACUCACUCUUAUAUGACUAUUACUGCAUAUACUCAUCUUUUAUUUCGUUGAGUUUUAUUUUUAUUUCAUUAUUUUGGGUUUCGCAAAGAACUGAAUUUUAUCUUAUUUAUAGCUCUAUACGCAUGUAGUUUUUCUCUUUUUUGGUUUCAAGUAUUUCGUUGGUUUUAUUUAACAAUCUUUUGGAGUAUAGAGAAUCAUUGCACCAAUGUUUUAUUCUUGGAUUUCCUGAUGAUUUGGCAUUGAGAUGUAAAGCAAAGGUGUCUCAUGGGAACCAUAGAUUGCUCGAAACUAUCUCAAAGAAGUGGAGAGAUUUGUUACGUAGCUUCAGACUAUGCCAACUAUGAAGCUCUAGAAAAAUGGUGCGGAAAUUGGCUGUUUGUCAUUGACGAGAAGGAAAGGUUUUUCGUUCUUCAUUUCUUGCUAUAUCAUCUUGGGUUGUGCAAACUAUUCAUUAUAGGGGAUUCCUUCAUAUAUAUAUAUAGUUAAUUCUUGCUAAGA